UGGGGAAUAUUGCACAAUGGGCGCAAGCCUGAUGCAGCCACGCCGCGUGUGUGAAGAAGGCCUUCGGGUUGUAAAGCACUUUCAGCGGGGAGGAAGGCGGUGAGGUUAAUAACCUCAUCGAUUGACGUUACCCGCAGAAGAAGCACCGGCUAACUCCGUGCCAGCAGCCGCGGUAAUACGGAGGGUGCAAGCGUUAAUCGGAAUUACUGGGCGUAAAGCGCACGCAGGCGGUCUGUCAAGUCGGAUGUGAAAUCCCCGGGCUCAACCUGGGAACUGCAUUCGAAACUGGCAGGCUAGAGUCUUGUAGAGGGGGGUAGAAUUCCAGGUGUAGCGGUGAAAUGCGUAGAGAUCUGGAGGAAUACCGGUGGCGAAGGCGGCCCCCUGGACAAAGACUGACGCUCAGGUGCGAAAGCGUGGGGAGCAAACAGG
rnacentral:rRNA from 1 species